GGGGGUGUGGCGGAAUGGUAGACGCUGCGGACUUAAAAUCCGUUGACUGAUGAAGUCGUAAGGGUUCAAGUCCCUUCACCCCCA
rnacentral:tRNA from 2 species